rnacentral:rRNA from 1 species
CGCACGGGUGAGUAACACGUAUCCAACCUGCCGUCUACUCUUGGCCAGCCUUCUGAAAGGAAGAUUAAUCCAGGAUGGCAUCAUGAGUUCACAUGUCCGCAUGAUUAAAGGUAUUUUCCGGUAGACGAUGGGGAUGCGUUCCAUUAGAUAGUAGGCGGGGUAACGGCCCACCUAGCCAACGAUGGAUAGGGGUUCUGAGAGGAAGGUCCCCCACAUUGGAACUGAGACACGGUCCAA